UNUCACCUGCCGAAGCAACCAGCCCUGAAAAUGGAUGGCGCCUGAGCGUCGUGCCCAUACCGGACCGUCAAAGGUACAGUGGGCGUCCGCCUUCGGGCGAGAGCCGUUAAGCCUUGACGAGUAGGAGGGUCGCGGCGGUGUGCGUAGAAGGGUCUGGGCGUGAGCCCGCCUGGAGCCGCCGUCGGCGCAGAUCUUGGUGGUAGUAGCAAUUACUCUAGCGAGGACCUUGAGGGCUGACGUGGAGAAGGGUUUCUUGUGAACAGCUGUUGGACAAGAGUAAGUCGGCCCUAAGCUCUAGGAAAAUUCCGACGUCGAUGUGGCGGAUAUCAACGAGGUUCUGACCGUUACGCGUCGUGGUCUCGAUUGGCGGCGGUACUCGGACGACGAGUUGUGUUCGGCCUGCGCGUCGAUACUCGUCCGAGCCGUGUGGUGAGCUUCUGCGGGCCACGAGCAGCGGACGGCGGAACGUUGACGACUGCCCUCGGCGUGCGAAAGGGAAUCAGGUUCAUAUUCCUGAACCCGGCAGCGGAACCGCCCUUGGCGGGCACUCGCCCGCGAGCGCUCGACGGGGUAACCCAAACCAGCCGGGAGAAGCCGGCGGGGGGUCUGGAAAGAGUUGUCUUUUCUUUCUAAGCGUUCGGGUGCCCUGGAAUCCUAUAACAGGGAGAUAGGGUAUGGAGCGCGAAGAGCACCGCAAUUGCGGCGGUGUCCGGACUUCCCCCCCGGACCUUGAAAAUCCUGGUAUGGGGCUACGCGGAUGUCGCGCCGGAGCGUACCCAUNAUCCGCAUCUGGUCUCCAAGGUCAAAAAGCCUCUUGUCGGUAGAAUAAUGUAGGUAAGGGAAGUCGGCAAAUUGGAUCCGUAACUUCGGAACAAGGAUUGGCUCUGAGGGCCGGGGCGUGUCGGGCUUGGUCGGGAAGCGGGUAUGCGUCGACGUGCCGGGCCUGUGCGAGGAAGAAGCUGGCGUGUACGGUAGUGUCCGUCCGCCUUCUAGAUUUCAGCUCGGUCCUGGCCUCGACCUCUCGCGGAUCUUCCUUGCUGCGGGUGGUCGGCUGCUCUGGUCGCGACGCGGCCUCUCUUGCGGGAGGCCCUCGUGGACGGGCCGUACUCCCCUUCGGCCGCCGCCAAACGGCCAACUCAGAACUGGCACGGACCAGGGGAAUCCGACUGUCUAAUUAAAGCAAAGCAUUGCGAUGGUUCUUGCUGAGUGUUUACGCAAUGUGAUUUCUGCCCAGUGCUCUGAAUGUCAACGUGAAGAAAUUCAAGCAAGCGCGGGUAAACGGCGGGAGUAACUAUGACUCUCUUAAGGUAGCCAAAUGCCUCGNUCAUCCAAUUAGUGACGCGCAUGAAUGGAUUAACGAGAUUCUCUCUGUCCCUACCUACUAUCUAGCGAAACCACANGCCAAGGGAACGGGCUUGGAAGAAUUAGCGGGGAAAGAAGACCCUGUUGAGCUUGACUCUAGUCUGGCACUGUAAGGNAGACAUGAGAGGUGUAGCAUAAGUGGGAGACAGCCGGUCGCGAGACUGGACUUUCGGCGGUGAAAUACCACUACUUUCAUAGUUUCAUUACUUACUCGGGAGGGCGGAAAGAGGAGCCGUCCAAGGGUACUAACCCGGACGGUCCUGCCUUCUCGCGCCAAGCAUCUGAGGGCUGUCGGCACGCUUCCGUAUGGCGGAGGCUUUGGUAAGGCAGAGUGGCCUGUGUCGCCCAGGGGCGACCGGCCGCCGAGCCCGUCGCGCUCCUCCGUCGACGGCCGCGGCUGACCGGCAAACGCUCCCUCGCGUGAUCCGAUCCGAGGACACUGCCAGGCGGGGAGUUUGACUGGGGCGGUACAUCUGUCAAACGAUAACGCAGGUGUCCUAAGGCCAGCUCAGCGAGGACAGAAACCUCGCGUGGAGCAAAAGGGCAAAUGCUGGCUUGAUCCCGAUGUUCAGUACGCAUAGGGACUGCGAAAGCAAGGCCUGUCGAUCCUUUUGGCUUGAAGAGAUUUCAGCAAGAGGUGU
rnacentral:rRNA from 1 species